AGAUGAAACAGGAAGUGAUGUCACAGGAGACAACUCCACAGAACCAAUGCUGGCUCUGGUUCAGGUACCACGUUUAGAUUUGUGUGUUUGCCCAAAAUGAGUGUUCACUUAUUAAUGAUCAUUGGUUUGUGUGUCUGUGUGUGUGUGUGUGUGAUGGCAGUCGUCCCUCCAGCAGCAUGUAAACACUCUUCAAGUGUUUGUUGGAAACACAGUGAGACUGUCCUUCAUCAUCUUCAUCCCUGCUCUGCUGCUCACAGCCGCUUACAGAGUUUGGCGGUCUAAACAGAGAUCAGUGACUGACAGGAGGCUCGGCCAAUCAGAGGACAGCAGCUCAGUGUGAAACAGAGUUCAGCCCUCAUUUAACAGUCCACUCGAUCAAUCACUCUUUAUCAAUGUCCUGCUGCCAAAUCUUCCAAUCACAUGACCUGACAUCAGCCAGCAGGAUGGGCCUGCUGUAGUUCACAGUCUGUCCUCGGGGUGGCAGUGUUGGCUCAACCUGACCCAGCACUGCAGCACCUGGGUGUCAGGUUGACUGCAGAACAGCAGCUAGCCUCUAUGCUAAUCAUGAGAAGAGACAUUGAUCAGCUGUUAUAAACACGGUGUGAGGAUCCAAAGACCUCUGUCCUACGCCUGCUCCACCCAUCCACACUGACAGACCGGUGCAGCUCUGCAGGUUACCACCAGCGUGUUAUUAAAGUGCUCAUGCAUCUGUCCACCAUUUUGUUUGCUGGUCUUGCUUGUUAGCUUUAAAGUUUGUGCUGCAUGUCAGUGGAACUAUAAUUCUGACUUGAUGCUCAUUAAUGU
ensembl:lncRNA